GAACUGAACGUCCACUUUUUAGACACUGUCAGGUUGGAAGUUUGGCUGGGGCACGACUGUUAAAUGAUAAAUACAAGUGUCCCAAGGUGAGCUUAAUGAGAACGGAAACCUCCUGUAGAACAAAAGGGUAAAAGCUCACUUAAUAUUGAUGUUCAGUAUGAAUACAAACUGUGAAAGCAUGACCUAUCGAUCCCUUAGUCUUUACGAGGUGGUGUCAGAAAAGUUACC